rnacentral:rRNA from 1 species
AUUGACCUCGGAUCAGGUAGGGAUACCCGCUGAACUUAAGCAUAUCAAUAAGCCCGA